CAAACAAAUUUUUGUUUUAAAUAGUUGUCGAAAUCUAGUUCAAAUUUUGGAGAAAUAAGUUUAGUGAAUUGAUAAGAAAUGAAUUUAAGUGUGUUUUGCUCAUUUUAAGGGAUUGCAAUUGUAUUUUGGUCUGUCAAAUAUUUUUUGUUUUAAAUAGUUACCGAAAUCUAGUUCAAAUUUUGGAGAAAUUUGCGUGAUAUAUGGGAUUGAAAUAUAUUUGGAAUGUUUUUUAUUUGUUAAUUAAUUUAUUGCAAAAA
rnacentral:sRNA from 1 species